UCACGCGUGUUUAAAACUAAUUAAAUAUAUUUUUUAAUUAAUUUGGACUGUCUACGAGAGAGAAAUGGGUUACCAAGCGUGAGAGCUACGCGUGCCGUUGGUGACCGGUAAAAAGUCGUUUCUCACAUGACCUCACUUCCUAGGUAAUACAGUCAAUGCUCGACAGACACCAAACGUAAUCGGCACGUGAUUCGUCUCUUCUCUCCGUAUAUCGACUUUACUGGUCUAAAUUCUAAUCAUACGUUGUACGAGGAAGAUAUCUAUAUAAUUGUACUCAGUGGUCGAAAAUAAAUAAUUGUUCUCGAGUAGCAAAAUAAUCAAACCCUUAAUAACCGUAUAACUGUUACUUUACACGAGAAAAUCGUUGAUAAAAAGAAUCUUGGAAAAAUUGCCAAAACGGAACAUAAAAACAACAUAGUUGUCCCUAUAGUAUAAAACCAUAUUUGUCCAUUUAUUCUCCCUUUUAUCCUUUCCAUUUCUGAAAUUUAAUGAAAUAAAUAGUUUUAUGAAUCCAAAAAAAUAUUAAAAAUAUAAACAAUUAAUAAAACACCUAUAUACACAAACACAUUUUUUUUUUUGGUUAAAAAACUUGAUAAAUAAAAUUUUAAAAUUACGUUCCACUAAAAGUAGAAUUCGUCUUCUACGGAAAAUGGGUUAGUAGAAAACGAAUUCCAGAAUAAACAAGUCCAUCUACUUUUCUUAGAAGAAACAAUCUAAAAAUUAUUAAAAUUCUAAAUAUGGGGAAUGCGAAUUCUACUAAUUGUAAAGAUCGCUACUUUUCUUUUGAAUGCAGUUUCUACUUUUAUGAAGUAUUCUAAAAUUUCGGGUAUGCGAAAUCUAAACUUAACACGAACGUCUACAAAAAGCAGAAAUUGUAUUCAGAAUUUUUGUCAUGGUUCUAAAUAAUGUAGAAAAUGUCUUCUACGGAUAAAAACCAGUUUUUUUCGAAAAUUAAGGAAUUUUCGGUUAAGAAAAUAUUCUAAAGAUAUUCUAUUUUCCUAAAACGUGUCCUGGUCGAUUUUCUUUGUCAAAAUAUAAAAAAAAACGAUUUUGGCUUUUCUUUUUCAUCAAUCUAUGAUUUUUCCAUAGUUUGUCUUGUAAUUUUCACAAGCUCUUGUUCUAUAAUGCCUAUCUAUACAAUAUGUGGUGUUUGAGAAUUUAGUGCAAGCACGGGAUGUGUAUUUUCGGCUGAUGAUAAAGGGGAUAGGCUACUGUUAUUGGAAUCAAGUUCUACCUUAGAGGAUUUAAAAAGAACAGUUUUGGAGGAUUUUAGAAACCAAAUGCAAUUGGGUUAGGGGGUAUUUUUAUAUGUGUCGUGUGUUCUUUUAAAAAAAAAUAUAUAUUUUUACAUUUUUUUCCUUCCUAAAACAUUAUGGAAUUACCUUAUUUUUUUUUUAUCUUUUUCCAUUAAAAUUUUUAAAAAUGGUUUUAAUUUAUGUUUAAUUUGAUUAAGGAAAAGUUAGUUUUGGGAUUAUGAAAAAUAUUAUACUAUAGGGACAACUUAGUGAUGGUUUUAUACCAUAGGGACAACUAUGUUGUUUUUUUGUUCUGUUUUGGCAAUUUUUCCAAGAAUCUUUGGGUUUUUCAUUCCGCAUUCUAUAUUUUAUGACUAUAUAUGAUUAACAUAUUCUAUGUGAUUACAUUAAAAGGCAUUUGAACAAAAAAUUACGAAAACGAAGCGGAUGUUACAAGGUAAUAAAAGGUUAUUACAACCUAAAAAGAGUUAUGUAAAAUGGAGACAAGUUGUACCCCGUUAAUGAACCACCCAAAGAUCAGAGGUGACGAGAAUCUCUAUAUUAUAAUAGAAAAGUUUUUUCUCUCUCCUAAGUUCACAUCAUCACUUCCUUUAUUUACGGAUCCACAAAUCUUAAUAAUUUAUUCUCAUCGGCAAACACGAAAUGAUAAAAUUCUUGAUUAUUUGUUGGAUCUUUUAAUUAAUCGUUGUUUAGACUAUGAAUCGAUUAGGUGAGGAUUGAGCCUCGAAUCCAACAUCUCAUACUCGCUAUCUGAGUUUCCCUUCCGAAGAAUCCUAAACCUCUCAAUUGAAACUUGAUGCUUCAUAUGCAAUUUCCGAACAGCCUGCUGCUCACCACGCAACCAUUGAUGAUCUCGCCUUCUCUCAGUUGAUUGUUGGCCCACAUCAAAUAGCAACGCCUUGUGAGUGAAUUCAUUGUUAGAGAUCUUCGGUAAUCUUCAUACCCUUUUAACACACCUCCCAAUCCGUAAAUCCCUCCAGAUUCAUCAUCCACCACAACAGCAGCAGAUGAGGUAGCAGAGGAGAUCCGGCGGCUGAACAAUGUCCCGUUGCUCGCGACCCCUCCGGAAUUGCAAACCUAAAAGUUGUUGGAGAUGGAGAAGAUAAGUGUAGCUAACCUCUUGCUUCGUAACGCCAUAGCUCUUUAGGAUUGUUGUUCCGUACUCUUCUCGACUUCUCGGGAAUAUGAAUUAAUGCGAUUGCAAGAAAGAGAUGCGUCUGCGGAAAUCUUUAACGAAUUUGCCCUAUGAAGAGGUGUGAUAUUACAAUUCGUGCAUUUUAUUUGCUAUUUCGUUAUUAAUAUUUUUGGGUUUAAGUUGUAUAAUACUUCAAUCAUGCCUAUUUGAUUUUUGGGUUUAAGUUAUAUAAUACUUCAAUCAUGCAGUUUGGUUCACA